GGGAAAAUAAAUACAUCUUUCGAGCAGGAAACCAAGUCCUCCAACACACCCAGGAAUACACAUAUCUGGGAUUAAAACUGAGUUCAACAGGGAACUUUAAUCUGGCUGUGAAUGAACUGAAGGCAAAAGCACUGAGAGUCUUCUACAUGAUUAAAAAUACUAUUCGACAAGAAAUUCCAAUUCAAACCUGGCUAAAAAUCCUAAAAGCAAUAAUUGAACCAAUUGCUCUGUAUGGCAGCGAGAUAUGGGGACCUCUAAAAACCCAAGAUUUCUCUAAAUGGGAAAAAGAGGAAAUCGAAACUCUGCAUACACAAAUUUGUAAAAACAUCCUAAAAUAAACAGAGCAACACCAAACAACUCGUGCAGAGCUGAAUUAGGACAAUACCCCUUAUUGAUCAGUAUCCAGAAAAGAGCUGUGAAGUUCUAC
ensembl:lncRNA